rnacentral:rRNA from 1 species
GAUGAACGCUAGCUACAGGCUUAACACAUGCAAGUCGAGGGGAAACGGCAUUUAGUGCUUGCACCGAAUGGACGUCGACCGGCGCACGGGUGAGUAACGCGUAUCCAACCUACCCAUUACUGUGGGAUAACCUGCCGAAAGGCAGACUAAUACCGCAUAGUCUUCGAUGACGGCAUCAGAUUUGAAGUAAAGAUUUAUCGGUAAUGGAUGGGGAUGCGUCUGAUUAGCUUGUUGGCGGGGUAACAGCCCACCAAGGCGACGAUCAGUAGGGGUUCUGAGAGGAAGGUCCCCCACAUUGGAACUGAGACACGGUCCAAACUCCUACGGGAGGCAGCAGUGAGGAAUAUUGGUCAAUGGACGAGAGUCUGAACCAGCCAAGUAGCGUGCAGGAUGACGGCCCUAUGGGUUGUAAACUGCUUUUGUAUGGGGAUAAAGUCAAUCACGUGUGAUUGUUUGCAGGUACCAUACGAAUAAGGACCGGUUAAUUCCGUGCCAGCAGCCGCGGUAAUACGGAAGGUCCGGGCGUUAUCCGGAUUUAUUGGGUUUAAAGGGAGCGUAGGCCGGAGAUUAAGUGUGUUGUGAAAUGUAGACGCUCAACGUCUGACUUGCAGCGCAUACUGGUUUCCUUGAGUACGCACAACGUUGGCGGAAUUCGUCGUGUAGCGGUGAAAUGCUUAGAUAUGACGAAGAACUCCGAUUGCGAAGGCAGCUGACGGGAGCGCAACUGACGCUUAAGCUCGAAGGUGCGGGUAUCGAACAGG